UUGCCAUUAUUCUGGUUAUAGUCAUACGGGAUAGGAAAAUUAAACUUUGUGAGAACGAAACAGAAAGUCCUUUGGUACCAAAACACACGAAAGUUAUACCAACAGAUAAAUGUCCUACCUCUACUACAGAGUCACAACCAAGCCACUAUUGUGAGCAGAAAUUGAAAGGAACGCCCGUCACAAGCUUACCGUGUGAUAACGAAGAUAAAUACAAACCCACUACUCAUUUACAGAGAUAAAAUGAAAAAGCGGAAUUGUUUAACAUUAUCAUGUCAUACGCCACAUGGCAAAACUCCUGCACGCAUUAGGACAGCUUAAUUUUGCAUUUUACUCUUGUCGGAAGUCCUCGGCUAUCAUAUAUGUUCUUAACUGAAGUUUGACGGAAAUGGUCGAGAAGAUGCGAUUGCGUUGUCCUUAUCUGAAGUUUUACGGCAUGGGUCAAUAAUAUAAGAGUCUGUUUUGUAAAAUGUAUUGAAUAUAACACAAUGUAAUUUACAUUGUAUUGUACAUAAAUAACAUUUUAGAGAUUAGGUGAAUGAGCAGGCAUCACAUUUUACAUUCAUCCACACAUUGAUUGUGCAUUCAAAUAUUUACGUGACAUUGUCUAAUUUAUGUUGUUUUACACAUGUAUAUACUCCCUACUGAAAAAAACAUAAUAUUGAUCAAAACAGAACUUGAACACUUUGAUGUUACUACAAACUUAGUUUUAUAUGCGCUUUGGAAUAGCGGAGCGGUAUAAAAUGUGACAGUCAAACGUAGUGAAUUCAGGAUUGAUUUUGUGACCAACGGUCGUUUCAUGAGGAAAAUCUUGCAAGUAUUCCGCUGUGUUUAAUACAUCGUCAUAUAGAAGUCCCUUUAUAUGAUUUUAUAAAAUAAGUAUAUUUCGACAAGUUGUGGCUUAGAUAUUAAUACUUAAUGAAGUUGUUAAAUAAAAAAUAAAUCUGAUAUUUUGUACUGAAUAUUGUUGACAUACAGUAUCGGACAAACAAAUUAUUUUAAUCAGGUAUUUGUCAUGGGCACUUGAUAGUUGAUCGAUUACCCUUUGUGACAGACUACCCGCCGUGAUUUGAUCAACGUGCCUAUGGUUUAUGUGUAACUUGCUCAGAGUCUUUGUCAAAUACAAAAAUAAAAUGAACAGGGUAAAUGUGACACAAGUAUAAGAACUGUUCUGUUAACUUCUUAAAGAAUUAUAAUUUCAUUUACAGUUUGAGAAACGAACCUAUAUUUUCUGUUUCAUCGGAGAUAAGAGAUCAAUUAUUUCGGUUCCAAAUGAAUUGUGUUUCUGUCAUCAUCAAUUUCGAGAAUAUUAAUAAGACAUUUCCUUGCUCUAUCAUAUGAACAUUUUUAAGAAGGAUUUCUUUGACUUGACUUGUUUACUAAUCGGCUUAUGAAGUCUCCUAAACAGCUUUCUGUUUUGAGUUAUAGAAAGGGAAAAUAAUUCAAUGGCACUUCGACAUAAAAUAAACAUGUAAUAUUAUAUAUUCUUUCUCUGAACAGCAUGCUUAGUUGAAAUAAAAAAUAAUAAGAAUAAAUUUUAUUCAAUGUUCAUGUAUCUAUAUCAGCACGAGUUUUUGUAGAAUGUGUGAAAUAGUUAUUUAUAGAUUUUUGGAUUCCCAUUAUUUGGAACACAUAACCAUCCGAAUAUAGACGGAAAGGAUCGAAAAGUUGCGAUUGAAAAGUUGGACACACGAUAAAAUGCGACACAAUAUCUAAGUAAGUCAAGGAUACCGAAAUAAAAUCCCCCUUUUAAAGACUGUUUUAGUGAUAAAAAGAUAAAGUAUAAACUUUAUGUACAUAAAUUUUGGAAUUUAUCCAAUUUAUUAUAUGGGAUCCUGAAAUGCCAUGGUUAUUUCAAAAUGUUGUUUA